GCAUCAGUGGUCUAGUGAUAGAAUAGUAAUCUGCCACGGUACAGACCCGAGUUCGAUUCCCGGCUGGUGCA
rfam:Nicotiana sylvestris Nsyl_contig238093, whole genome shotgun sequence.